UGUUGUUAGUUGCCAGCAUGUAAUGAUGGGGACUCUAACAAGACUGCCGGUGUAAACCGCGAGGAAGGUGGGGAUGACGUCAAAUCAUCACGGCCCUUACGUCCUGGGCUACACACGUGCUACAAUGGCAGUGACAAUGGGUUAAUCCCAAAAAGCUGUCUCAGUUCGGAUUGGGGUCUGCAACUCGACCCCAUGAAGUCGGAAUCGCUAGUAAUCGCGUAACAGCAUGACGCGGUGAAUACGUUC
rnacentral:rRNA from 1 species